GCCUGGGUGGCUCAGUCGGUUGAGCAUCUGACUUCAGCUCAGGUCAUGAUCUCGUCAUUUGUGGGUUCAAGCCCCGCAUCGGACU
rnacentral:tRNA from 1 species